rnacentral:rRNA from 1 species
GACGAACGCUGGCGGCGUGCCUAACACAUGCAAGUUGAGCGACGAACCAGGGCUUGCCCUGGGGCAAAGCAGCGAACGGGUGAGUAACACGUGGGUAACCUGCCCCGAUGAUCGGGACAACCCGAGGAAACUCGGGCUAAUACCGAAUGUGCUCGCCGGACACCAGUCCGGCGCGUAAAGGAAGCUUCGGCCUCCGCAUCGGGAGGGGCCCGCGGCCCAUUAGCUUGUUGGUGAGGUAACGGCUCACCAAGGCAACGAGGGGUAGCGGGUCUGAGAGGACGAUCAGCCACACUGGGACUGAGACACGGCCGAGACUCCUACGGGAGGCAGCAGUGGGGAAUCUUGCGCAAUGCGCGAAAGCGUGACGCAGCAACGCCGCGUGGGGGAAGAAGGCCUUCGGGUUGUAAACCCCUUUCAGGAGGGACGAAGGUUCGGCGGUGAAUAGCCGUCCGGACUGACGGUACCUCCACAAGAAGCCCCGGCUAACUACGUGCCAGCCGCCGCGGUAACAC